GACGAACGCUGGCGGCGGGCUUAACACAUGCAAGUCGAACGGAAAGGCCUCUUUCGGGGGGUACUCGAGUGGCGAACGGGUGAGUAACACGUGAGUAACCUGCCCUUGACUUUGGGAUAACUUCGGGAAACUGGGGCUAAUACCGGAUAGGAGCUCUUGCUGCAGGGUGGGGGUUGGAAAGUUUCGGCGGUUGGGGAUGGACUCGCGGCUUAUCAGCUUGUUGGUGGGGUAGUGGCUUACCAAGGCUUUGACGGGUAGCCGGCCUGAGAGGGUGACCGGCCACAUUGGGACUGAGAUACGGCCCAGACUCCUACGGGAGGCAGCAGUGGGGAAUAUUGCACAAUGGGUGGAAGCCUGAUGCAGCAACGCCGUGUGCGGGAUGACGGCCUUCGGGUUGUAAACCGCUUUCGCUCAUGACGAAGCUUUGUGUGACGGUAGUGGGUAAAGAAGCACCGGCUAACUACGUG
rnacentral:rRNA from 1 species